GCAAUGAGAGCCUUGGUACAGUAUGUUUGUGUGAAUAAAUACUUUUAGAUUAUUCCAAAAUAGAAGAAAUGAAAGACAGGAAGACUGUGCUUGCUGACACCGUGUCUAGGGGUGCAGUGUUGCAGCCAGCUCUGGCUUUCUGGCUGGCGUCCCUCCAAGGAGAAAUGAGGUAGACAUUUCUGUAGAGAUAAUCGGCCCCUGCAAACACUGCUUUGUGAGAACCUUCCCCUAAUGUUCACUUUCCACUUUUAGCCCCACCAGACAGCCUUUUGUUUGUUUGCUGCUUCUGGCUUUGCCCCUUCGUGCCUAAUAGCUGCUUUUCUGGCUGCAAUGCCCUGCCCCUGGAGUGCCCAGCUCUCUACAUUUGGUGUCUCGCCCAUCCCUUCUUCCGUUGUCCAUAUGCUAGAAAUCAGUGAUGUCUCACUACCGCCUCACAUCCCUGAGGUGGCUGCCCUCACUAGUUAAAAUCAAGUGGCCUCCGACACCUUGGCAUUUCAAAAGAGACCUUGGUACAGUGGCAGCGAUCUUAGAGAACAACAGAGUAAUGUGCCAACAUCCAUUGAUAUUUACUGAGCACCUUCUGGCCUCAUCCUAACCAGGCCUGUUCCCAAGUUCCAGCCAACCUGGCCUUUCAGCUCCUCUGAAUGAGUGCCAUCUCCAGAUCUCGAGAGGGCCAGGAUAGCUGUACAGGGAGCUCUCUUCUCAAGGGAACCCAGUAGAGGAGUUGCAGGGCCUUACAUCCCAGCCUGUGAUCUGCUCUCUCAGCCCUGGGCCACGGUGUAGAGGACAUCUUUCUCCUAAGACGGGGUCAUUUUUCUUUAAUUUGUUCCAGUAUGUCUGAGAGCUGGUCAAGGCCGUACACAUUUUUCUCCUGAUUCACUCUUAGGCCAAAUGUUACUUAAAACACCCUUUGAUUAGGUUGAGGUCUAGCUAUUAUUCCUCCUAUUCCUUGACCCAAUUUGGAAACCAGUCUGUGCUUGUCUGAUGAAAGUUCAAAUCUACACAACCUAAAGCCACCAGAGCACAGCCUGGUCUCAUGUUUGCUCCUCUUGGUAACAGCACUUGGUUCAAGACAGGAAUGCAGUAGGCAUUCAGUACCCAUGAAGGCAGGCCACUGUGAUCAGAUAUCCUACAGAAACGAUUUAAGGGAGGGAGGGCCAAUUUUGACUCAUGGUUCCAGAGGGAUUUCAGUUCUUCAAGGUGAAGUCCAUGGCCACAUGAGUGUGCAGUGGAGAGCGCUCACAUCUAAGCUGUCGAGGAAACAGAAAACUAGAAUGAAGCCAGGGGCAAGUAAGAUUUUCCAAGUCCCUCUCCAGCUACCCUCAUUAGCCAAGCCUGACUCCUAAAGUUUCCAAAACCUUUCAAACAGCACCACGAGUGGCAUCUAAUAUUCACAUAUGAACAGGUAGGUAUAUUUCAGACUGAAACUCCAACAUGGUCUGGCCGUGGGCUGACUGUUGUGUGGCACAUGGCUUCACCAAAUGCUCGCAACUGAAAACAAUGGGCUACUGUGACCUUGUCUUUCUGAGGAGGCUGAGAUGCGAGAGGGGGAGGAUGAGGAGAAGGAGAGUGUGACAAAGGGAACUCAUUCAAGGUCACUGACUACUUCCUACUGAGAGUGCAAGCUGCCCAGAAGCAGCGAUCAGAGAAGGGGAGAGGCAGCUAACAUGGAAGGUGGCGUCUAGCACUGUUGGAUAACAAAGCAGAGGACGGCAUGGCCAUUUGCCUAGGAGUUUAAAAAAAAAAAGUAGGGAAGCCACAAUCACAAAACUCCUUCCUUGACCUUACAGCCACAAUGUAGCGGAUUGUCAUCUAUGCCCAUCUCCUCAGCAAAGUUCUAUGUGAGGACGCUCUAACAAAGCAGACUCUGUGGCCAGCAUCUGAAGGGAGAUUUGAUGGGGUCCUUCUCUUCGGGGGCAACCUUCCCUGAUAUGGGUAUGCGUCUCAGUUCUGAUGUGGAGAAUGUCAAAGCAGCUGCGUCCCUGUUGGGGACCAGAGGAAGGACCACUUACUGCAAAGCUGAGGACACUGGGGCCAGCCCCAGCCCAGCAAAGGGCCUCUGCCAGUAGAGAGACCUGGGGCCAUUUUGCAUCUCAAUGACAUGUGCAAAAGGCAAAAUGAGAUGUCUAAUAUGUCUGUGAGGCAGUAACAUGAGGCCGCCUUUAGUGAUGUCCCGGCUUUCAUGGCUAAAUAAUACAGUGCUGUCUCAUUGCCUAACAAGAGUAAGUGCAAGACAGCCAGCGUGUAUCAGGCAGAAUGAAAAGGAUCUACUCUUGCAGGGAAGCGCCUGGGAAUUGUUUGCUUCAGCGGGACAGCUUGAAGGGACAGAUGCCAAGCCAGGUCCUUCCCUGUCCUGGAAUCAGUGCAGCUGGCCUCGGGUCAGAUAAAAAAUAAAGGGGCAAGCCUCAUCACCAGGACCCUAGGGGCAAAAGAGAUGAAUGUGUCCAUCACAGGAGGAGGCUGCUGUAGAGAGGCCCCUCAGGGCUGAGGCUGGGCAUUCCCAGAGCAGACAUUCUAUUGCUGAGUUGUCUCCUAGACGACUUGCCUUAUUAGCAACGGUGAUCAGUAUGACUGCCCCCUUUCUCUUUUAACUGGAAAUUAAAUGUAUUUGCACCCUAAGAAUCAAUGCUGUAAUCUUGAGAGGAGCAGAAACUAGUUUUCCUGACAGUGUAUGUGUCUUGUAGAUUUAAAAUUUUAUUCACAAGCUUUCCCAUUCCACCCCCUUUUGGCUGUGAAGUAAAAGGUUUGUAGGCAGAAAGAAGAUGCUGCAUGCUUACGAACUAGGCAGAGAGAACAGGGUCAGAGAGAUGGCUCAGGGAUCAGGACUAUUUAUUGAACAAUCACAAAAACACGGUUCAAGUCCCACCAUUGCAUCAAGCCCAUUGUCCUGAGCCAAUCUUUGGGGGAUGUGACAUUCUCUUCCUGUCCUUAGGAGCACAGGUCCAUGUACCUGUGUGUGCACACACAGAGACACACAGACACACAGACACAGACACACAUCAAAAAGAUCUAGGAAGGAAGCCCUCAUCCAUUUCUCUACCCAGGUAUAAGAAUUUCAGAGACAGGCAGAAAGAAAGGAAGCUUGCCUGGGAUUAAACAUUAGAUUUUAGAUUAAAUUUACCCUCCUUUCAUUAGGUAAAAGAUGAGCUGUUUUCUUGGAACAUAAAAGCAAGAAUGAUCCAGAUAGAAUCUAUUUCUGAAGAUGGCACGGGCCAAACUUGCAUCAAUCAUCAUAGUCUUUUAAUGGCCUAGGAUUGGAUGCCAUCCACCGACUGUAUCCGGCUAGGGAUGUGGCCCUCUACAUUACCCGCCUUAUUCUUCUACACGCUUUACUGGACAUUUACAUCCUGGGGCAAGGGGUGCACUGUGCGGGUAAGUGCAGAGGCCACGAUGAUGUCAGACGUCUUCCUUAAUUGGACUCCACUCAAAACAUACCUGCAGCCCACUGAUUCUACUUGGCUGGCUGGCUGGCCGGCCAGUGAGUAACUGGAGUGCUGUGCUCACCUCCACAGUACUGGGGUCACAGCUGGGCUGCUCAGAAAACCUCAUCACUGAAGCUGUGAGCCCAGAAAACAGCCUACUGAACAGCUUCUUAAAGACCAAGGCUGAAAGAUUUGAUUUUUUAAAGUAAAGUGCACCCAAUUGUGAUGUUAUUUAGCUCACUUGUAAUUAACUACACCGUUUUUCUAAUGUGGCUCAGGGAAACUUAACAACUGGCCACCUGUUCAGACUUCCAAGGGUGAGCUCAAGCCUGGGUGUCUGGGAGGGUUUCAGGCUCUUGCCUUCCAACCCCUUCCAAACCACCAGAAGUAGCUGAUGUCACUAAGUAUUGAACCUAUAGCCUUAUGCUUGUUAAAAAUGCUCUCCCACUGAGCUGUACUCCAGUCAGAUCGUCACUUUUCUUUUUAAAAUGCCUCGGACCUCUUUCUACCUGUCAAUUUCUAUUCUUACCCAGAAUAGUAAUUUUAAAAACACAGAUUCUGUAUAAAGGAUUACGGUGGGCCACUUACGUUAGAAUAGAGGUACCAAAACUCGAGAAAGCAAAGCUGAUGAUAUUGUGAUUCCUGUGCUUUUAAAACAGGUGAUGUAAUUAAAACUAAUGUGGUUGGUCAGCUACUGCACCCUAAGGAGGCCUCAAGGUUAAACAGUGCUUCAGCAUUAUGACACAUCUGUAAAGCGACAGGAAGCUCUCAGUGUCUGCCACUGUGAUCAAGUCAACCAUAAGCACUACAGACCCCGCCAGAGCCACUGCCAGACUCAUAAUUAGACUGAGAUUAGAGAAAGUCGGCAGCUAACCUCCCCAGUCCUCUAUUCAAGGUUAAUUAUGGACAAUUGAGGCAGGAGCUGGGGCAAGAGAGGAAAGGCUGUGGAGGCUGUGCAUACAAGGGCUCCCUUCAAAGGGAAGAAAAUACUUAAAAGAAGAAAAUACUUGUUACAACAAUGCAAAUUUGUAACCAAGCAUGAACUGCUGCAGAAUGGCUUAAACAAUGGAGUAACUGCUCAAUGGUUGAUUCUCCCUCUUCCACACGACAUGCUUGUCCACUUGGCAUUUAUCACACUGGUUAGUGGCAAAGAUUCUAUGCAGAAGUCAGCCUUGCUCAUCCUGUUAAAUAGACCUUGAUGUAGCUGUAU